rnacentral:pre_miRNA from 1 species
UGGCAGUGUGGUUAGCUGGUUGUCAGAUGUGAGACAACGGCUAUCACCACUGCCGUCC